rnacentral:RNase_P_RNA from 1 species
AGUUUUUGUUAGUGAAAGCUGGCAAGAUAUAAGGCGCGGAAUAGGGCCACAGAGACGAGCGUAUUAAGUUACGGUGAAACGCGGUAACCUCCAUCUGCAGCAAGACCAAAUAGGCUGGUAUUGACGUGGCUCGCGUUGCCAGCGGGUAGGUUGCUUGAGCGCAUGAGUAAUUGUGCGCCUAGAUGAAUGACUGUCACGCAUAGCAAUAUGCGACAGAACCCGGCUUAUCGGCCAGCUUCACUA